rnacentral:rRNA from 1 species
UACGGGGGGGGUAAGCGUUGUUCGGAAUUACUGGGCGUAAAGGGCUCGUAGGCGGCCAACUAAGUCAUACGUGAAAUCCCUCAGCUUAACUGGGGAACUGCGUGUGAUACUGGAUGGCUUGGAUUUGGGAGAGGGAUGCGGAAUUCCAGGUGUAGCGGUGAAAUGCGUAGAUAUCCGAAGGAACACCGGUGGCGAAGGCGGCUUCCUGGACCGACACUGACGCUGAGGCGCGAAAGCUAGGGGAGCAAACGGG